GCACAAGCAGCGGAGCGUGUGGUUAAUUCGAUGUUACACGAAGAACCUUACCAGGGUUUGACAUGCAAGUGGUAGGAAGCCGAAAGGUGACCGACCCUUCGGGGAGCUUGCACAGGUGCUGCAUGGCUGUCGUCAGCUCGUGUCGUGAGAUGUUCGGUUAAGUCCGCUAACGAGCGCAACCCUCGCUGUGUGUUAUAUGUGUCACACGGGACUGCCGGUCUUAAGCCGGAGGAAGGUGGGGAUGAUGUCAAGUCAGCAUGGCCUUUAUAUCCUGGGCUACACACACGCUACAAUGGCCAACACAAUGGGUCGCUAAGCCGCAAGGUGGAGCCAAUCCUCAAAGUUGGCCUCAGUUCAGAUUGUAGGCUGCAACUCGCCUGCAUGAAGAUGGAGUUGCUAGUAAACGCAGGUCAGCUAUACUGCGUUGAAUACGUUCCCGGGGCUU
rnacentral:rRNA from 1 species